CUGAUUAUGUCCAUUAUUCCCCGAGCCAUAUUGAUUAACAGGAAGAUAGAGCACACUCUAGUCUCCAGCAGUUGGAGCGUAACCUUUUACCCUGGCUCUAUCCCAGCUCCGGCCGGGCUUGGGUUACAUAGUGCCCGGGCAUUCCAGAGUACAAAUGGAAUUAGUGCAUCUGUUCGAAAGUUAAUUUUCAAAUCACCAUUGAAUGAGUCUUUAGAAAGCGCUGAAAUGGUGGCCGGUGGCCAUCAGCCAGAAUAACACGCCUUCUCGUGUAUCGGGCCCAAGGAUUCUUUGUGCGCUUAUUAUUAUUUCUAAAGCGUGGAUUAUGAAGCUUCAGAUGGGAAUUAAUUUUCUACAAGACAGCUGAACGAUGGACGAGAGACACAUGGGGGGGACGGACCGAAAGAAAGAGAGAGAAGAGCAAGAAGAUGCAGCAUGUAGGGUUGGAGAGAAUACAGAGUGGAAGGAUGGAGUGGUGGACCUGCAUGAAAUAUUGUGUGGAUGGCAUUAUUGUACUUGGACCAGGCACUGUACUCUCAAAAAUUAUGUGAAAAUAUACAUGCCAUUAUAUAGGAGCAUGUGCUACACUUGUAUUUAGUAAAACUGUCAGUACACUGACAUUAAACAAGCCCUUUCAAUCGCAGGUUCUCUCUCGAACUUCUCAAGCCACCCUGAUGCAAGCUAAUGUGUUUAACAGAAUCAGAAACUGAGGAAACCGCACUAUGAAAGCAGCAGCUCUCCCAGAUUUUAUGACUGGAUUAUACUGAACUGUGUGUAUACCACUAUCAGCAAUAAAUAGACAUUAACUUAAUACACUUUCUGUAAAAGGUCUGUAGUUGCAGUAUAUUCACAAAAAGAAAAUGAAUUCCCUUACCACUGUAAAUUUGCUACUAUAAUAAACUAUAAAACCAUGGUAACUUAAAUGUCAGAAAAUUUCUUACACAAAAGUUUCUUACACUGUACUAUAUGGACGUGUGGUUUGACAGUGGUACAAAACUGUAGAAGAAUUACAAAAUGAAUAAAAAUAAAGUUACAAAUUCAGAUUUUUUUGUUAUGGGUUACUAUCAAAUAUUUUAGCAGGUAGCGUUUUAUAAUAUUAAAAUUACAUAAAGUU